rnacentral:lncRNA from 1 species
UCUAGACCUGCUGGUUGCUCUGCAGCACAGACAAACUGCCUUCAUUCCCACUCUGAUGGAAGAACCAGGAGGAAACUACUGACUUUAUGGAAGAAGUGGAUCUUGAUGCAAUAUAUGAAAGAACCAUUGCAAAAUCUGUGUGAUGCAUAGAGAGCAGCGUGAAAAAAGAUCAAAGAUGAAAAAGCAUGUAUGUGAAGUUAAGCCAAGCUGCUGCUCCUCUGCCAGUCUGGUUUUUGUCUUCUGGGGGAUUUGUGCCUAUUGAACUUCCUAAGUGUCUCAGAUGAAGAUUAAUUUGACUUUGAGGAUGGUUGGAGUUUCAGGUUAAGAGGGUGUACAACACAGAAG